rnacentral:lncRNA from 1 species
GGCCGUGUGUCUCCAAAUGAGAGGGUGGGGUCCACCUAUUUGAAAAACCUUAGGUGCCAUGUCAUCAUCUUUACAAUUGGGCUUUAGUCUAUUCUACCAAAAUUAGCCCAAAUAACAAAAUUUAGUUUAAAAAGCCUAAUCUACUAAAUUAAAAUUUGAUUAAUUCUAAAAUGUGUUUGUGGAGAGUCUUCAAUUGUUUGGUGCCCUUCC